rnacentral:lncRNA from 1 species
AUGACUACUACCAAGAGGCCGGCGCUUUCUUCACCCGUACCGACAACACUCUCCUCGACAUCCAGAAUACGCAAGCAGAACAUGGACGACUCCUGGAAUAGCAACAAAAAUGGAACCAGGACCACGCCGCUGCAGUACAAGAACUAAGACAAGACACCACAACAAUGAACGACAACAUCACCACCAUGAUGCGAUUCUGGAACAUCGGGUAAGACCGACAUUCACA